CUCAACUCCCCGUAGGAAAGCAUUGAAAAGCCACGCAUGCGCGUUAGGUCUCUGCGGCCAGCGGGAUCAGUCUCGCCCACCUGCCAACGUAAUGGAGAGGAGGAGCGACGGCAACCCGAAACCACCGCCGAGGGACAUCGGCGGGGGUCUCAGGUAAGUGACUGAAGGGGUUUUCACCCCUUCAGCAACUGGGGAUUGGGAGGUGGGAGGGAGAGGGGAC